CACGUAGGCGGAUAUUUAAGUCAGGGGUGAAAUCCCAGAGCUCGACUCUGGAACUGCCUUUGAUACUGGGUAUCUUGAGUAUGGAAGAGGUAAGUGGAAUUCCGAGUGUAGAGGUGAAAUUCGUAGAUAUUCGGAGGAACACCAGUGGCGAAGGCGGCUUACUGGUCCAUUACUGACGCUGAGGUGCGAAAGCGUGGGGAGCAAACA
rnacentral:rRNA from 1 species